UAUUAAGGGCUCCCGAUCGCAAGCGAGUCAAGCUCUCUUACUCAUACCCAGCAAUCAAUUCUUCGUCGUACGUUACAAAUGUUCGCCUACAUAAACCCUAACAGAGGUCAUCAUCUUCCCAUGUUUCGUACGCCUCCUCUCUCAAGAACAUUAGUUCAAUUGAUGAGUUUUACUCUUAUGAUGGUCUACAGUGAUCAUCUGUAGAAAAUGGGUUCCCAGAUUAGAGCCAGCCUUCCAAACUCCCCGUAACAGCCGCAUACAAAGCUUUCUCGCAUAUAGGCGAGGCUGAAGAAGGCAAACCUUGGACCACACGUGUUAGACUGAAUCGCAUUUCAUGGGGACCAACGAGGUCAAGAUCCUGAACAACUUCAUGAUAGAGGACAAUUGACUUAUCUAUUUGGCGCUCAAGUUGAAAUUCUUCAUCACAAGUUCAGUUUUAUCCCUUUCAAAGAUCUGGACUCACGUUCAGCCAACACUUAUCUCACGGAUUUUGUGGGGCGUGCUGAUCAGCCUCAUAAAUCUUCGACACAUGAAGAGAGCCAAUGGUCAGCCCUGUAUGGUGCGCGACUUCACGCUGCAGGACCUUGGGGGAAGCAAUGUCAAAAUAACUCUGUGAGGUGAUUCUACAAAUUAGAUGAGCCGUAAUUCAGAUAAAACCUUUGGUCGCAGUGGUUUCAUUCACAUAUGUUCGUAAAUACCAAGGCAAUUACUCUUUCUCCUCUACUAACGCCACUAAGGUGUUGUUCAACCUGUCCAUUCCUGAGCUGCUCGACAUUAAAGAAAGGUAUACCAUCAUUGCGUAUACUCUUUCACAUACAGAUAUGAAUCUCAAUUAUAAACCAGAUUGGCAGUGAAGAUUGGGAAGAUAACCUGAUUUUGAAAAAUAUUUGUUGGGGGGAAAAUAACACAGGAAAUGUCGUUGCUUCUCUUAUGACUUCGUUAGAACCGAAAGCAAAGCUUAUAUUACCCUGUAUCUUCACUUUACGUCUUCAAUACGACUGUUCAGCAACCUGUUUCUUCAGCUUGAUGCUUGAGAGUUUGAAAGAAAGGAGACCUGCUCACAAGAGUAACCGCCGGCGCCAAGGGAAUCGCAACCAGGUCUACCCUUAUGAUUGUGAACUGCGACCCAACAUAGUUUCUUAUUAGUAACCCAUGUCUCAACGAUAUGGCUUACUGAAAACUUGAUGGUACUGAUGAAGACUGAUCAGUACCAAAAUGAGGAUUUUUUUUUUAAUAUUAGAGCAUCUCUAAUGCAACGGGUAAAUGUUUUAUAAUCUUAUAUUUAACCUGUAAUUUUGAGUUAUUGAGGAAUAUGAGUAGGGACAACCGUACUGAGCACAAUAUGGAUCUGUUGUUCCUCCACUCUCAAUUUUGGAUAUAUUAGUCCAGGUUACUUCAACUGUUUUAUAUUCCAGUAUGUUUGUUGAACUUAAAGUUUUGAUUAUGGAUUGUGUCUCUAAUAUUUGAUUGCGGAUUGUCAACUGUUCUAUAUUUCAGAUCCUUGCUGAUUCAUUUCGAAAGCAACCUUUUCAUGGUUACAAGUCCAUUGAGUGAAAACACUGUGGAGAACGAUUGGCAAUAUUGGCAUUGGGUUGCAACUCCCUUGGCGCCAGCGGUUACACAAAGAACAAUCCGUGCGUGUCCAUAAUUGUAAUGUACGGGCCGAGCUACUAACUUCUUUUGUAAAUGUUAGAAGCGCAAUGGAUAUGGGAGAGGCAGGAGCAACACUAAAGAAAACAUGCAUAGUUAGAAUUGGUAGAUUUCUUCAUGGAAAUUUGCUCACUCAACGAGAGAAACAUGCCAGAUGCAAAAACCGCUUUAGCUAAGGUCAGAGAACCAGUCUUUACAGAACUUCGGGAUUCAUACGUGGAAGCCCUUAUUGGUAGAGUCCAAAUUUUGUAUCUCUACCAACUGAAGGAGUGAUACUCUGAUAAUGUUUCUGACAAGCGAAUUCAAAAUCAUACAUCAAAUGUCAAAAUAUAUGGGGAAAUUACAGAAGAUCAAGAAGACCCAUUAGACCCAUUUUAAUGUUUCUUACAAUAUGAUUUGGUAAAAUUAUGAUGUAAAAGGUGGCUUGAGAUGGCAUUUGGGUACACUCUUCUGAGGGUGUUUGGCAGACCACUUUUGAAUCUUUCAAGAAUUCAACUUUGAAGCGGAGGCUUACAAAUGUUGUCAGAUUCAAUUUAUGCACUUCAUGCAGAAAGGUUAGAAGGGAACAAACUUUAAAUAUGAAAAGAGUCAUUAACUGGCGGGAUGGUUGACGUAUGGAACCUACCAUAACUUGGGAGGAGACAGGAAAAUGAGUACAGAUUAUUUGCUGAGAUUUGAGCGUUGUUGUGACUCUGUUCCUCUCUUCAUCCUAGAUGACUACCUUUUUCUUUUUCUUUGUUCUCUCUAGAUUUUUCUUCAGUUAUAAAUUUGUUACAGUUUUGAAGUAAUGGCUUCGUCAUUUAAAA